GGUGAAUCAAUGCAAAAAAAUGAUAAGAAGGUAUAAAAAACGGCCCGGAGAGCCGAGUCUCAUAUACCAAUCAACUCAACUCGAUGAACUGAGCAAAUGUCUGUAUGGGUGUAUGUGUGUCAAAAAAGUCACUAACGUUUCUCAGCCGUCUGUCAACCGAUUUGGGUUCUCUUAGCACGAAUGAAAGCUACAACAUCCUAGUAGAACGCUAUUGAAUUUUAUUUCGAUUGGAAAUUUGGUUACCUAGAUAUCUUUUGAAGAGUUUUUGGGAGUAAUACAACUUAACUUUUCAAGAGAUUUUUGACAAAAUAUAUUCUAAUACAUUUCUCAGCCGUCUGACCACCGAUUUAGGUUCUCUUAGCACCAAAUAAAAACUAAAACAUCCUAGUAGAACGCUAUUGAGUUAAUUUCUAUUGAACAUUGAGUUACCGAGCUAUCUCUCGAAGAUUGAUUGAUUGAUAUAUGAGGGCCCCAGAUGCCAAGGGGUGUAAGUGACCAUUUUGUCGAUUUUGAGCUGAGCAUAUCAUAAAAUUCUUCAGAUUUCAAGCUUUCAGGAACUUUUUUAAUUUUGUUUUUACGAUGAUUAGAAAAAUUACAAUAAAUCGGAGAAAAUUUGGUCGAUUUUACAACUCCAUACAUUUUGUAUGGGAUGAAAAAUUGGUGAAAAACUUCAAACCUAAUUUACUCGAAAGUUGGUUUUUGUCACUUACACCCCUUUGCUUCUAACCCCCUCAUAUGUAAUGAUAUCUCUCGAAGAGUACUUGGGAAUAAUACAAUUUAAUUUUUGAGAGAUUUUUGAUAAAAUGUAAUAUUGUAAAUUUCUCUGCGGUUUAUCAACCGAUUUCGAAUUCCUUGGAAUCAAAUUGAAACUACAAUAUCCUAGUAGAAGCCUUUAAAAUUUCAUUUUGAUUUGACUUUUGAUUACCGAGAUAUCUUUCAAAGGGUACUAGGGAGUAAUACAACUUAACUUCCCAAGAGAUUUUUAAAAAUGUAUCACAAUAAUUUUUUUUCGUCGUUUAUCAACCGAUUUGUGAUCUCUUAGCACCAAAUGGAAGCUACAGUAUUCUAGUAGAACGUGGAUAUUUGGUUACCGAGAUAUCUUUCAAAAAGUACUUAAGAGUAAUUUUGUGAGAGAUUUUUAACAAAAUGUUUGCCAACCUAUUUGGGUUCUUUUAGCACCAAUUCAAAACAACGAUAUUCUAAUAGUGGGAAUAUCAUUUGAUGAUAUUCUAGAAUAUGUAAGCGACACUCCAUUUUAGUGAGUCAUUUAUUUAAAGGUAUGAAUCACGUAAGAUCUAUGUACCUAUAGCUAAAAAUACUAAAUAUAUCAAUAAUGUUUUAUCCGAUCGAUUUCUCAUACUUGCUCUAACGGAUUUGGAAUUACUUGGCAGCAAAUAAAUGUUAGAAUCUAUUUGUACUAUGAUUGUUAUUUUUAUCUCGAUAAAACGUGUCCUUAGACAAGCAUCAAAGAUAUGCUAAUUUCUUAGAACAGUACUUUCUUUAUAACAUAUUCUUAAAUACAAAAAUACGAAUUUAUAUUUAAUAAUAACCCAAUUCAAAAUUCACAUAUAUGAAUAUUAAAUUUGAAUACUAAAGGAAUAAUUUUGAUAAGUGUAAGAAGAGUUCUGUUCACCAAAGGUGGAUUAAAUCAGGUUUAUUUAAACUUGGAAUAACAACAUUUGGAACGUAUUAGACCCACUGCGCGCCUCCACGGUCAAUCGCCCUGAGGGCAACCAACAAUAAAAGGAACGUUCGCUCAGUCAUUGGAAGCAGCGACCCAAAACAUAAAUGCAGAAGAAAAAAAAAUAUCGCACACUUAUAAUGCGCGAAAUGGUUAUGCAGGCACCUUCACAAAGCCGUGCCGUCGUCGUUAUGGGGAUUUUCACCUACUUAAAUGACUCUCUAUAGUGCCCGCUACACCCACGACACAGGUCCAAAUUGAGGGGAUUGAAAGGAUUUUGUUUGGAAAAAGACCCCAACUAAUGCUAGAGAUAGAGACAUGAAUGUAACAGAAAUAAGUUAUAUCAAUUUGAAAUCAACCCAGGGCAUAUCUGACAACGUCAACGGCAAAGCCUAUGGCCAAAAAUGACAUUCCACGAGCUAUUCAUCGCUGGCCAUUCAAAAAGUCUCAUUCAUUGUCAGAGACCCCAAAGCGGGCCAAUUUCUGCAUGAAUAAUUUGAAGCCUUCAGAAACAACUUGGCAGCAUAACUCUGACUGACCGGCUACAGUCGCAUACUGCUGCACCUUUCUUGCACAAACAGUUGCACAGAAAGGUGUCAAUAUUUCUUAAUUCAGUUUCUUCGAUUUUUUUUUAUAAAAUUGUCAAAACUGAAUUGUUUGACCUUUUUAUGUUGGAAAAAUAAAAAACACACAUGACAUCUCUAUGGCCUAAAAUAUUAAAACCUAACAUAACCGAAAAUUGAAUUAAAAAAGUUUAUUAAUUUGGAAAUAUUGCAUGAUUCUAAUAAGUGACUCAGUUAUUAGUAGUCUCUAGUCUAUUAAACUAAGUAUGAAAACAGUAUAUCUUAUCUUGGAUGUAACCGCUUUGGCUAUAAGAAAAGCCAUAUCAUCAGUGCUAGAUGGAUUAUUCAAAGUUCUUUCACUGCCAUAAAGUAAAAUGCUUGCUUGGUUUGUUGGCCUGACUUACAACCGCACGCGCUAUCCAACACAGUGGUGUCUCCAUCCAUAUUCAUCAUGGGUUAUUGAUGGAUGUGAAAAAAAAGUAUGCAUGAAUAAAACUUCGCCGUCAUUGUCGUUCAAUGCACCUUGAUAUGGAGAGAGAGGCAUGGAACUGAUUCCCUCAAAAGUGGGACCCGUAUUGUCGUAUGUGUUGGAAAGUGUGGAAAUGAUGCCUUGAAUUAGACGUCGUAAAAUGCCACUUAUAGGCCCUACACAUUAUAAUUGAAAACCAUUCAUGUGAUGUAGGAUGGAGGUCACAACCGCGCAUCAUUCAACUUGACUGUAUAUUGCUGAGAUGCAAAUUUUACAGUUUGGGUCGUUGUAAUGGUGUAUUGUGAUUGCACACAAAUGCCUUGAACAAAUGGAUGCAAGGCCAGCGAAAUUGCUUCUCACAUUAAUUUUCAAGAUUUCAACUGCGCUCCUCGUAAAGACUUUCAUGACAGCACAGUUUUCUUUUUCGUUUUUCUAGAUGAUCAACAACCUGUAGAAGUUUACAACGCAAUGAGCAGUUAAAUUCAUUAUUGACAGUCUUGAUUUUUUUCAACUUCGAAUUAACAGGUUUAUUAACUGGACACGAAGAAGGCGACGACGCCCAAACGAGCCUUUGAAAUAUGCGGCCAACGAAAGGCGAAAUUUACACUUUCCUCUGAAGGCCUGCUUGAAACGAAGGCGUUCAUCGAGCCAUUCAUGGGCGGCACCUACCGUCACAAAGUGUGCGUCAAAAAUUAAAAGGCAAUAAUGAAUCGAAUGUGUGUCAUUACACAAAUUUGAUUGACGGUUGUGGCAGCAGUUUUUUUGCGGUUAUGAUUUUCACAGUGAAUAACUUGAUUGAAUACUCGGGCAGUGUGUUUGUUUUUUUUUUGUCUGGAAAUUUAUUGGUAGGUAUCAUAACACGCGUUUCAUUUCAAAUUAUUUUUUAAUACUUAAGCGAUAUCACUAAAUGAAAAGAUGCGAUAUAGAUAUUGCUGGAAAUAGUAACAUAAUAUGAGAAAACUUUUGUAACUCGUUUUUCCUUUCAAUCAUCACGUUUACUAAAUGUACUGCCAGAAAGUAGAGUUCUUCUUCUUGGCACAACGUCUCUACCGGGACAAAGGCUGCUUCUCAGCUCAGUGAUCUAUGAGCACUUCCACAGUUAUUAACUGAGAGCUUACUUUGCUAAUGACCAAAAUGUGUAUAUCAAGCGGCAGACACAAAGUACUCUAUACCCAAGGAAGUCAAGGAAAUUUUCUUUUCCAAAAGUUCCUGGGCCGAUCGGGAAUUGAUCAGUUAAUCACCCCCAGCAUGGUCAUGCUGGAUACCUACACCUUUCCAGCUGUGAUUAUAUGAACCCUUAGUAGAGAGUUUUUCGAAUCAAAAUGAAAACAUUUUACUUUAAUUCCAGAACCCCGUUCCAUUGAAAAUCCCAUGACCUUCAAACGAAACGUAUAGAACAAAUUUCACCACUCCUUGGAAUGUCGAUAAUUGGCAUUAAAUAUUGAAAAGCAACAUUGUUGUUUCACUGUUACUGCGUCCGUCUCUUUACAUAAUAUGUAAGUAGUUCAACUCUAGUCAGCCCAUGUGACAUGACGUGAGUGAUGGAUUAUCUCCAUGGAUCUGUAAGUGACGCACUACAUAGCUGGAAGUGAAACCUCCACUAAACUGACGACAAAUAAUUGAAUUUUUGGUGACAAAAAAAACGUUUACGGUAUCCCUAAUGGAUCGGACAAAUGCCAGUCAUCACAGGAAGUUAAUUUGAUGCUGUUAGAGGCAGUAGUGUUUCCUUAAGUUUUUGUGCUAAUUGUGGUCAAUUUGCUUAAGUAGCAACAGUGAAAUAGUAGUUAACUAUGCGACAAAUUUCAAAAUUAUCCUUUAUCUAAGGAAUUUUUAUAUAUUACUUUUAUUUUAUUUAUUACUGAAACAUGUAGCUUACACUUUUCAAUCUUAAGGUUGCAAUGAUUACUCAACUUAUCUAAAAAAUACAAAGUUUCUGAUGAUAUUUUACAUUUGCUGAUUCCCCAUUCAACCUUUCAGUACAUUCAUGUCGAAAACUCCUGAACGAUCCCAAUGUGGGCUUCGUGGUCAAGUGGUUAGCGGCGUCAGUCGUUUAGGUGUCUCGUAAGCCUCGGAGUGUGGGUUCGAUUCCCGCUCCAGUCGGGGAAAACUUUUCGUCAAACGGAAAACUCCCCACUGGGCCACUGGGUGUUAUAUGUGCUAUCCGUUGUCUAAUGUUAGUAUAAUGUGUAGUCUGUGCGGCCUCUGGCUGAAGACGGUGUAAUUGAGGGGGUUAGAGGCAGAGGGGUGUAAGUGACCAAAAAUUCAAAAUUGAGAUAAAUAUCGCACGUGAUUCAACGAGAUCAGCUUUGUUUGUUGCCAAAGACCCAUAAUUUUUAAAAAUGUUUGAGCAUAUUUAAACAUUGAUUGAAAAUAUGACGCUUAACCGUUGAGGAGAUUUGUUUGGAGGCAGAGGGGUGUAAGUAAUUUAUUAUAUUUUCAUGAAGUAUUGCUCAACAUUGUUUCAAUCAAUUUAAAUUCUCAAGUUAAUAAUGGCAGUGAUGAUAUUGUACUAUUUCGAGUCUUACUGAGAGGGGAAGUUACCUUUUCGUCAUUUACCCUUCUCAUUAUCCAUUUCUCACUCACGCCAGUAUUUGCAAAGUCUAGCUUUUGGAAUAAGGUAAAACUUUCACUCGACUGGCUUAGCCGCAAACAUCGAUAGUAAAUUAAUUUACUGAUAUUUUUGCUGAACUUUUCACACAAAAAAGUGACAAUAUCACCUUCUUUUCGUUGCACAUCGUGAGUACGAAUGACGAUAAUGUACCAAUUAAAAUUACAACACUGCAUUUUAUUCACAAUUAUUCAUUCCCAAAUUUAGGAUUUUAUGACGAUCGUGAAGAUCAGAAUUAGGUUAUCAAUUUGAUUAUCAAAAUUUUGUACAGUCUCACGAAUUCAAGCUGUGCUUUGCUAACUAGCCGACGUUUCGUCUGUGUUUGGCAGUCUUCUUCUAUGGAAAAUUAGGUCUAUUUCUCCUAAAAGAAGGCUGCCAAACACGGAUGAAACGAAGGGCAGUUAACAAAUUACCUUUUGAAAUCGUGAGACGUCUAAACUCCAAAUUUCAGUAUAUACUCGUUGGAAACCACUGUCAGGGACAAGUUUACAUACGCAGUAUUACACUAAAAGUACAUCAUUACGUCGUGUAUGGUGUCGUUGAGGCUCUGUUUUAGAAUCCGUAUGAUUAAUCAUUAGAUUUUAAAUCGUAUUGUUGGCGAUUUCCAUAAUUUGGAAGGAUAAAACAUGUAUUAGUAGCGCACGCCUAUCAAUUUAUACAUUUAACCCUCGAGCAGUCGCGUCUUCGACUACCUGCAGCGAAGUCACGCUCACGUUGUAUACCACAAGCGUGUAUUUUUCAUGGCGCGUGUACUCAGUACACGACACGACCGCUCCUGGGUUAAUAAUGAGCUUCUGUCUGUCUGUAUUAUCCUUAUAGACUCGGAAAUAUCUGAAACGAUUGGCGUGAACAUUUGCAUGCCAAUUUUUUUUUCGAGCCGGGGAAGAUUCUAAACAACUUGACAAAUUAACUGGCAAAAGAGGCCCCAAUACACAUAACGGGGGACUUCUCUAUGGAGCUGUGUAUCAAAAAGCCGCACAGCCGGUUUACUAUAAUUUUUAGCUUUUCAAUAUAUCAGGUUUAAAUGUAUUUUUAUUUACAUUUAAAAAUAAAAUAAACUUACAUUUUUGAAAAUACUAUGAUGAUUAAAUUGUAGGUCCUUACUGACGUAACAAUGAUCCGACAAAAUGGUCACUAAGGUUUUAUGUUACGCUAGACGCAUCACGAUAGCGCAGUGUUCGUUCAGAAAGCCUGGGUCAUAAUCCCAACAUCCCACUAGGGUUAAAUUUAGGCCUUUUUCUUAAUUUCUCAAUACUUCAUCUGAUUUUUGAAUUCAGAAAAGUAAUAAUUCUUCCACAUCAUCAUGGUUGCUUGCAUUAUUCAUUUAAAACGAAAUUAGACGCUGCCCUUAAACAUUUUAGGGACAAUUUUAUUCAUAGUAAUACUUGAGUCUACAUGUAGAGUAUAUGGCCUAUUGAGAACUUGUUUGGUGCCAAAGGGGUGUAAGUCAACAGUUUGGUGGUAAAGGGGUGUAAGUGACACUAACCCAAAAAAUCAAAUUUUCCUAUCUGCAAAAAAACAGCGUAUAUAAUGUCUGUUUCCAUCUCAGAUGGUGGAGUUACUUGAUAGUAGAGUGUUCGGAGCGAAUCCAAUUUUUUUCGAAUAUUGUUGAUUUUUUUAUAAGAUGUCAAAGUUUUCGUUCAAUAUCUCAAAAUCGAGUUUUGGUCACUUACACCCCUCUGCUUCUGACCCCCUCAAUUGUCUUUUUAAAAUUUGACGCAACAUAUGAAAAAUAUAUUCCAUAAUGCGAUGUAUCAUGUAUAGGAAGCAGGGUUGAAAAAGUCAUAUUCAAUUGAAUGAAAUUGUGCUAAACUGAAUGCAUCAGGCAUUCAUUUUCAGCUCCGCUGUGAGAUACUUGAAAGUAAACACAGAAAAACUCAACUACUUUGUGGACGUAAUGACUCCACCAUCAUCAACACACGCUCUGCGCUGAUGGAUGCUUCAUGUCAACAACGGCCGGGCGAAUGCGAGUGGCCCAUAAGCAAGCGUGGUGAAUUUUCUCUUUUGAGUGCCAAAGACAGGGAAAAUGUUGUUAUUGAAUCUCGCCGUCGCCACGAUGUGAGCGACGAGAGAAUUUUUAUUUUCUUCCCACCCGCCUCCGUGAAGGAAAGAGACUGCAACGUCAGAAGCGGUGUGGUGAAAAGACAAAAACAAAAACUCACGUUCGUUGCAUGCUUUCAUUUUUUUGCAACCCUGAUAGGAAGCACACAAUUUCUAUUUCUUUUGCUUCUACAAGGCUGCAAUUUAUCUUUCAAAUAUUGAGGAGAGGUACAAUUAAUUAUUUUGAAGACAAUGAGCAAAUACCGUAAUUUGAAGAACUGAUAAAACGAACAUCCGAGUAAUUUCGAUUAGAGACGUGUAAUAUGAGUUCUGGGCCAUACAUGAAAUGAGGAAGUAGCAAGGAUUUCAAUAGCAAGGGACGUAAAUUAUUGAUGUCGUUGAUAUAUUCACUAAAGGAAGGAUUUUUUCGGAAAAAUCCUGUACCAGUUUUACGACACAAGAAGAAGCAUAAACAAAUAUCAAAUUUGAAAUUCAGUAUCCUUGAAAAAGCAUAGAAAUAUAAGUGAAUUUCGUGUUUUCAUCAAAGACGUUUUGACUCAUUUGUUCAUAGCUCAGUUCAAAACUUAUUACUACACUGUGUUGUUCGGAAAACUUGUAGGGUAGUGUAUUUUCUACAAUUAUUAUCAAGGACGCUAUGUUCUAACUCUCAUAUUUAUGACACAAAAGGGUUACUAUCACCUAAUGAUACUGAACGAUCGAUUUUUUUGAUCGUAUAGUAUAAGUGAGUAGCUUAUACUAUCAAUUGCAGCUGCAAACAUGAAUGCUGCUGUUAAUGAUUGGUACCAUUGAUAGUGUAGUGUUAGAUAGUGUAGUGAUAGUGUUUUUUUUUUUAUUUUUUUUUUUAUUUUUUUUUUUUUAUUAUUUUUUUUUUUUUUAAGAGUGGCCAGGUGGAGCUGCAGGACAGCUGAAAGCAAAGCCUGGACCCUUUCCCUACUUUCCCCCUACUAUGACCAAUACUCACGAUGGAGUAACGAUACAGUGUCGCUUACUGUUCCCAUCCCACCCGUAUUUUGUGGAAGCUCUAAAAAUGUAAUGUUUUGAUACUUUUGAAGACUACUCAGUGAUAAUUAUCAGAACUAGCGUUUUAGCCGGUAUGGGCAACUAGUUUUUCUGACAUCAUCUCCAAACAAUAAUCAAAAAAUAUCCCAAGUUACAUAGUGCAUUCUGAAAGUUAUUUCAAGUUAAAUACCAAUUUUGUUAUGAUGAACCGAUGUUGGUCAUCUACAGCACUGGAAUCAUCUUCAAAUAACUCUCUUUGUGAGCUUCCAUUCGAUGUUGUGGACAGAAAACUUAUCAGUCGAACGCCUUAUGUUAAUAUACAGUUAAUGUAUCUUAUGUCGUCGCUAGUCGUCUUCUGCUUCUCUGUGUUCAUCUCUUGUAUCCCUAUGAAGUCUGAAUAGGAAGCAAUCAGUGAAGUACUAGAUUGAAAGUAGUAGCUAGAUUUUUGUAUGGUGAGAUGAUCAGUUCUCCAUUUCUGUAAUGAAAUGGUACAAAAUGUGGGUUAUAUGAUUUUUUGACUAAUUUGAUGCUAUUUGAGCAAAAGUUUGGGUAACUGUGUUGUUGUAUUAUUUAUUUCUAGCAACUUCAACAACACAGUUACCCAAAGCUUUGCUCAAACAGCAUCAAAUUAGGCAAGAAAGAAACCAUAUAACCCACGCUGUUUGCACCCUUUCAUCGCAGAAAUGGAGAACUGAUCAUCUCACCAUACAAAAAUCCAGCUCACUACUUUCAAUCUAGUACUUCACUGAUUGCGUCCUAUUAUCCUUAUGUCCACCGUAUUAUAACAUGGUUUAUAUUACAUUCAAAUUACUACAGUUUUCCAUGUUUCUAGAUCCUGACAAAAGAACAAGAUUAAGUUUUAAUUCUGAUCACACCAUUGUUUAAAGCAACAUAACUCCUGCUCUUUUGCUUUUAUUGUCAUAAUGUCGUCUAAGUAAGGUCGUAAGGCAAGGUCGGUUAGUUGGUUAUUGUAUUAGCAAUUAAAACUAAUACAGAUCAUUCAUCAACUAUGGUGUACUCAUCCCUAACGGAUUCUAUAAAAAUGAGAAAUUAACUCAUUUUAAAACAAUGAUUUUCUUCAUAAUCUUCCAAUAGCAAUUAAUUUGAAUGUUAACAUAAAAGCUUCAACUGUAAGCAAACUUGUCUUAUUUUUAUAAUGCCAACUACAUUGAAAACGUCAACGUAUAGAACCUGUUACGAUGUCAACCUAGUCAAGUAGUGAACCAUUUCUGUCGAAUUUAGUCACGUCGCGACGUUCCGGUGUCAAAAAUCCUUCUUACACGUGACCAGUGAAUCUAUUUGAUGGUUAAUCAUACGUUGGAAACAGAAUAGUGUUUUAUGAUUUUUACUCACGAUUCCUCUUCAUUCGAUUCCGCUGUUUAUUAUGCAUAGUGUUUUGCCUUCGGGCGUGGUGAUAGAAAUACUCGGAGUAGUAAUUUUGCUCAUGUAAAAGGAAGGGAAAAGAAAAGAAGGAAAGGAAAGGAUAUGAUUAGUAGUUGUUAUUCAGUACAGUAGUUUGAGAGGCUGUGGUGAUACACUGGAUUCAGUUUCUAUAUGGCUGGUCGAU